rnacentral:rRNA from 1 species
UACAGAGGUCUCAAGCGUUGUUCGGAUUCAUUGGGCGUAAAGGGUGCGUAGGCGGCGCGGUAAGUCGGGUGUGAAAUCUCGGGGCUUAACUCCGAAACUGCAUUCGAUACUGCCCGUGCUUGAGGACUGGAGAGGAGACUGGAAUUACGGUGUAGCGGUGAAAUGCGUAGAUAUCGUAAGGAAGACCAGUGGCGAAGGCGGGUCUCUGGACAGUUCCUGACGCUGAGGCACGAAGGUCAGGGGAGCAAACGGG